GAUGAACGCUGGCGGCGUGCCUAAUACAUGCAAGUCGAGCGAACAGACGAGGAGCUCGCUCCUUCGACGUUAGCGGCGGACGGGUGAGUAACACGUAGGUAACCUACCUAUAAGACUGGGAUAACUUCGGGAAACCGGAGCUAAUACCGGAUAAUAUUUCGAACCGCAUGGUUCGAUAGUGAAAGAUGGCUUUGCUAUCACUUAUAGAUGGACCUGCGCCGUAUUAGCUAGUUGGUAAGGUAACGGCUUACCAAGGCAACGAUACGUAGCCGACCUGAGAGGGUGAUCGGCCACACUGGAACUGAGACACGGUCCAGACUCCUACGGGAGGCAGCAGUAGGGAAUCUUCCGCAAUGGGCGAAAGCCUGACGGAGCAACGCCGCGUGAGUGAUGAAGGUCUUCGGAUCGUAAAACUCUGUUAUUAGGGAAGAACAAACGUGUAAGUAACUGUGCACGUCUUGACGGUACCUAAUCAGAAAGCCACGGCUAACUACGUG
rnacentral:rRNA from 1 species